ensembl:snRNA U6 U6 spliceosomal RNA
GCGCUCACUUCGGCAGCACAUAUACUAAAAUUGGGACAAUACAGAGAAGAUUAGCAUGACCCCUGUGCAAUGAUGCCAUGCAAAUUCAUGAAGCAUUCUGUAUUUAA